rnacentral:rRNA from 1 species
CCUACGGGUGGCUGCAGUAGGGAAUAUUGCACAAUGGGGGAAACCCUGAUGCAGCAACGCCGCGUGAGUGAAGAAGGCCCUUGGGUUGUAAAGCUCUUUAGCGAGGGAAGAGGGUUGUCAUGGUGAAUAAUCAUGGCAGCUGACGGUACCUCGAGAAUAAGCACCGGCUAAUUUCGUGCCAGCAGCCGCGGUAAUACGAAAGGUGCAAGCGUUACUCGGAAUCACUGGGCGUAAAGCGCACGUAGGCGGACUUACAGGUCAAUUGUGAAAUACCU